UCCUUUUCUGAUUGGUGAAUAGCUCACCCCAACCAUGAUGGGCAGUGCUGAUGGGGUGUGUGUGUGUGCCCCGUAGCCAGGAGAUUCCAGCGGGACCUUAGAGACCAACUGCGUUUAUUCCCGUUGAAGCUUCCGUGAGUCGGAGCGCGCAACUCUGGGUACAAGACAGACAAUUGAGGAUUUCCUCCAUCGCACUGAAAAUGGAUGGAGCCCUUACUUGCCAUGCUCUCUGUGCUUCAUUUGCUACAGGUACCGUCAAGAUAGUCAUCAUAGCAGUGCCAGCCGCUACAGUUCCAUGCAUCUGUGCAGCCGUUGUAGUGGCCGCUGUUGCAUACGCUGCUGUGAAAAUAUACCAAUGUUCCAAGAAUUAAUAGCCUAAUGCUUCACAAAAGUGUCCUCUGCCGACCAUGUUGCUGCCUUGUAGAUGUCCAGGAGAGGCACUCGUUGAUGGAAUACAGCUGAUGACCCUUGCACUUGCAUGGAAUGUACCUUGACAUCAAGAGGACACGGUUCUUCUCCAGCUACCUUGUAGCAGGAACUAAUGGCAGUUGCUACCCAUCUAUACUGACACAGCUUUCCCCUUUUUGCGACCCCAGUAACAAAUA